UAAAUGCAGACCAGCUGAGGGUUAAGCUCAACCUUGGAAAAACACCAUCCAGGUAGACAGGUUGCCCUUGCUCCUCUUAGGGGCAAUGAAGCCUUUCUCUCUGGAAUCAAAACAGUUCAGAAGAUAAAAAUGGCAAGAUGUAGAAGUUAUAAUUCCCCAAGGCGGCGUCGGGUUAGGAGAAGAAGGAGGAGAAGGAGAAGAAGGAGAGCGAGAAAGAGAAGAAGAGCCUUGAAUAAAGUCAGGAGACAUCUCUAGGAGGAGUGGGGCCCAGUGGAGCCCUAUCUCCACAGACAUUUUUUGUUCAAGUGAAAUCUGGCUAAAAUUAACAGUGGUGACAGAGGGGAAAUGAAUGAACAGAGAAAGCCAGCGUUGUAGCACGUACUGCAUGCUACUAUAGGAAAGCAAGAUAGACUCCGAUGAAUUUCUUUUCUUAUCCGUGGGAGCUAGCAAUAAACCAGCCAUCAAUUUCCCAUCAUCAAGGCAAAAUGGAGCCAUUGCCUUUUACAAUCCCAGAAGAAAGAGCACGGUGGUAUCUUAGAUGCAGGGUUCCUACAGCAACACUGGAGCAAAGCCAGGACCUGUCUCAAUAAAAGUGUGGAAAAUGCAAA